AUUAGUAUAAAUGCGGAUUUGCCUUGUGUUAAUCGGCUUGAUAUUCUGCCCCACGCGGUUUAGCCGCCCGCGUUUGAGCCACCGCCUUCUAAGAAACAACCUCUCCAUUAAUUCUUCGCCAUUCUCAUAUGCGUCUGCUUCUCCUCUCUCUACUAUAAAUAUCUUCAUCUCUCAUCUCUAAACCCGUAACUCAAAACCUUCCAAGUAUUUCUCAUUCUAAACCCCUAACAUCUCAUAUUCUUUUGAAUUUCACAGCCUUUCUCCAAAGAUGAGUUCAACAAAUUCCACAGCAGCAUACCCUGCCCAAGCUCCCAACUCUGCCCAGCAAUAUCAUGUGCAAGCUCCACCUCCUGCAGGCUACCCAACAAGAGACGUGCCCCAGAACUCUGUUCCUGUAGAAACCAAGUCAAAGGGUGAUGGCUUCUGGAAAGGCUGCUGUGCUGCCUUGUGUUGCUGUUGCGCGUUGGAUGUUUGCUUUUGAUUGAAACAAGUCCACCCAAUAAUCUCAGUAUCUCUGAUCAUCAUCAUUUAUAUUUAUACAAUUCAGAGUUGAGUUUUAGUUUUUUGUGUGAUAUUGAAGAAGAGACCAUGUAGAUUGGAUACAGUUCCGGAUUGUCCAACUUUCGUCAUAUUUGUAUAAUAAUUGUUAUUCAUUUCAGAUAUCUGGCUGCUACUUUCUUUUUUCUUUUUUUUUUGUUCUUCUUCUUUGUAGUGGUGGUGGAUUUGUUUCUAUGUAUAUGGCCAGAUUUAAUCCCUUAAUAAUACAGAAUCGUGCUCUUUUUCUGUUUUAGUUCAAAGUCUUUUGUCAAUGUUCAAACAUUAGGUGAGAGUUGAUGGUGAUCAAUGGGGUAUGAAGAUCAUACGAGUAAACAUAAAGCAAUCAAGCCAGCGUGUUUGACAAACUUGUCAUUGAUAUUUUUGACAUGAGGUGAACGAGAUAAGGCCACGAAAUACACAAAUAAACCCUACAAAUAUAUCGUGGCGCACUCAAAUGGAUACGUCUACGUUGAGUUGUAUAGUUGUUUUCACUAUAAUUGUUGUAUGGUUGUUUUCACUAUAAUAGAGGGUUGUCACGUUGUACA